AUAGAAUCACUAAGAUUAGAAAAGACCUACCAGAUCAACUAGUCCAACGCCUACCUGUCACCAAUAGUUCUCUCUGAACCAUGUCCCUCAGCACAGUAUCUACACAUUCCUUGAACGCCUCCUGUGUCAAUGACUCAACUAAGAAAAUGGCACUUUAAGGGAUAUGGCUUAGUGAUGUGAUAUGGUAGGUUGGAUUUGGUGAUCUUCAAGAUCUUUUCCAACUUGAAUGACUCUAUGCUUCUUUGACCAGCCUUGUUCUCCUACUUGUACUGUGCAACUCCAAUCUGUUGUUUGCCACACCAGUCCCUUUGCUGGAGUUACGGUGGUUACCCUUACAAAAUCACUCAGCACAGCAGUGAGAAAGGAGACAGUGGGGGCAUGUUAUGCUGUCCCGCCCCUCCAGCAGGACCACCUAGACUAGUUUUGGUCAGAUGUAUGUCCAUUACAAGGGGAAGGGAUGCUUCAGAGAUGCUCUCCUUGACCAUGUUCACAGUAGAAGCUGUAUACAGAAUGGUCACAGGUGUACCCUUUAGAAUCUGUAGAUUCUUGCCACUUGUCUGCGUUAAAGUCACUCAGUUGCUUUUAAAAAGCUUUUAUAUCUUCAUGCAACUCAGGUGGAAACUCUCAAAACCAAGCAGCAGUAAUGAGUUGUAAUGUCUUUAUACCAGCGAUAUAAAAUACCAGUAAUAUAAGCACAGAUGUAGCACAGCUCUUUGUCCCUGUUUCUGCAAUCUCAUGCUCAAGAAAAAGCAAGGAGACAAAUGCUUAAAGACUCGAACGUAGUUGGCUCUUAGGGAAUCUUUUGCACAUCACUAAUAUUUUUCCUUCAACUUGCAAAAACUAUCUUUGCCUAAAAAGGAUGAAUGCUGCUUGUGAAAAUGCAGUCGUCUGUGAAGGAUCAGCCCGAGAUUUCUACGCCUUUGAAAUCUUUCAGUUCUCUUAAAUAACACCUAAGUGAUACAUGGGUUUUGGGUGGGCUAUAUCAAAUGAAAGCCAACUGGCAUGAAUGCUAAGUUAUAAUUCCUAUCAAAAGUUUUUGAAAGAAACGUGACUCAUUUUUACUCAAAAUCAGUUUUUUCUUUCUAAUUUCUUUUUAAAUGGUCAUUAUUAUUUUAUGGGGGGAUCCUUUGGGGAAGUCAUACGUUCUCAUUUUCUUUUCAAAGUUCGCAGCAGGGACGUGCCACUGUUCUCUUAUUAAGCUGAUUAUUAAUGAGGGAAGUAAAGGUUACCAUCAGACCAUCUUUCUCAAUGGUUUUCAGUCCAUGAUUUGAUUAUGAGCACAGUUCUCAAUUACAACAACUGGCUUCUCAAAAUCUCGCGAUGUUGUCAGCUUGGGAGCAAGGGCAGCAUGAGAAAAAAAACAUAAAAUCCAUAACGGUAUACAGUGCUGUCAGAUCAGUGAUUGCUGGGUUUGCUGGUUGUUUUAAUUCCUUGUUCCUCUCCACAGCCGCAAGGAAAGCUCCAAUAGAAGCAAUGGUAGCAUUGCUGGUUCUUGUACAGGCUUAAUGGAAGCUUGAAUCAAUAGCCUGAUUUAUUUAUUUAUUUUUUAAUUGCAGUAUAAAUUAUGUUUCUUUUAUAUCUCCAAAUAAUGCCUAGGGAGGCAAAAUACAUUAUAUGCAAAAUCUCCACAGUUCAAAUGUAAUGCAUUCAUUUAAGCAAAGCCGACAGCUGCAAAUACCAGCUUCAGUAGGAAGUAGCACAGACACAGCCUUCACAGUGUGAUGCUACACAUUAAAGCUGCUUCUUGCAAAACAGUCAGCAGAUCGAGACAAAUCAAAACUAUCGACCUCUGCAGCAGAGCAGGGAGUGCAGCUUCCAUAUGCUUUUCAGCCUUCUGUUCAAAUGCAAGCAACGCGAGGGAGCUGCCAAGUUCUGCUGCUUAGAGGAGAAAGUAUCAUCUGAAAUGGGAGAGGGAGAAAGGGAGGCUGCAAAGCCAGCAGCACCCUGAACAGAAUCCUGCUGCCGAGUGAGAAAAGGAUUGAUGAAGGCGAAGUCAAGGUGAGCUAAAAAUAAAUGACAGACAGAAUCUCAGCGUGGCUGAGGCUGGAAGGGACCCCUGGGUGCAUCUGAUCCAACUCCGGCUUGAGCAGGGAGCCCAGGCCUUUGUCCAGUACAUUUAGUAUUUCAGCUUGCUAUGGUUAAUAUAUUAGCAAGGUAUACAACUACCACGACUUGGUCUUUAUAAUCCCACCUGUAUAACUUCUAGGAAGAUGCAAAGGCUUUUGAAAAACCAUGGCUGACUUUUACGCAGUGAAGCGCCAUGGCGCUAUGAAAAUAUGGAGAUGUGUACAAGGGAUUCUCUAAGCACAACCAAAGGAGCUGAUGAAUGAAUGGUAGCAUCAGUUCAGACCAAAGAUUAUGUCCAGCCCUUUAUGCUAUCCCUAGCAAUGACUCACAACCAAUUACCAACCUUGGCAAUUGCUUUUUGUCAGGAUGUAUGUAAUUCUAACUUUUAUUAAUGCAAUUUAAAUACAAGAGGUAAACAAAAGUAUAUUGGGAACCUCAGGAAUUGCUUUCCGUUCUCAAAUGUGGUGCUUACUUCCUUAAGCAAAAUAAAGUCUAUCAGCCUUGAAAAC
ensembl:lncRNA